CAAAGGCAGAGAGAAAAGAGUAACGAGGAAUAAAUGCUUCGCUUCCUCCCCAAACUGCCAACUGCUUAGGGGUAAAAGAGGUCUGUUUGUUUAUUUGUUUCCUGGAUGCAAAGAACUGGCUGAUUUCUCCGAGCCUGGUGCAGCUGACAAUUCUAUCAGCCAACGCGGACGAGGCCUGGAAGAAUAUGGGUCGAGUGGAAAUCUACUUUGCAGGAACAAGUGGGCAUCUUCUGUCCAAGUAGAUGAACUGCAGAACCUUCUAGCAUCUUUCUCCGUCUUCCUCCCCAGGACAACUGGAACUGACCCCCCCCCUUCCACUGGGCCUGUGGUGGUGGCUUGUGAGGACAGCCCCCUGUGGAUCCGUGAACACACUGCACUCGGCGGGUGGGAGGGAUAAUCCCAGCCACGUGGCCGACCCUGCUUUGGUGAAGGCAUCUGCCUCAAAGGACUGUGAAGCAUUUGCUUCGUAAGUACACGGAGAGCCCACAAAAUUGCCCAUGGCACGCAGUGAGUGCCCAGCAGAUGCUAGCGUUCUCCUCCUGUUUAGAAAGGCCUCCGUGGCUCGUGAAGCAAAUAGCAGGCAAACGAAUUCAUGUAAGCAUAUGAGGACAGGGACACCAUUUCUCUUUUUUUUUAAUUUUUAUUUUUUAAAGAUUUUAUUUAUUUAUGAGAGAGAGAGCAUA